UGCGUGUUAGUGAAUUGUAUUUUUCAUUUUCUAUGCGGCCACACGUGAACGUGAUGUGAAUUUUUUUAUUGUAUAUUAAACUAUUUCGGUUAGUGAUGUUUGAGUUAUAGGACUUUGUUUCCACAAUAUUUUUGGAAUUUGGAGAACGUUUACGGAUGAACUUAUUGAUUGCAAUCCUCAAAAUUAUAGAAAGUGACGAAGUUCCACCUUACGGAUACAGUACACCGGACUUUCGAGAGCCUUCGAUUGCAAUGCUCCACUACAUGGAAAACAGAGCUUGAACAAGUUGGUAUUCGAAGAGUGGCUUUGAAUUAGUUCGAAUUCUUCCUUAUUGGAAAGAAUCAUGUUAUAAAAAUAAAGGACAUCAGUACAGGAAAUUUCGUGAGACAAAAAGUUUUAGAAACAUUGCUUGGGAUCCCCCAGUGCAGUGUUCUGGGUCCUGUCAUAUUCAUUAUCUUUACAAUUGACUUGGUAAUGCUCGCUGAGCAUAAUGAAGUAAUUAUCAAUUUGGCAGAUGAAAUCAUCAUGUCUAUCUCGACCAAUAACUUUCCUGAGUUAACAGAAAUCACUAGCGAAUCUACGAUAUCAAUUCAGAAUUGAUUUACUAAUUCACGACUUUUUCUCAAUCCAGAUGAAACUAGAACAGUCAUCUUCAAAACAUGUGCAUCAAAACACAUAAUUAUACCAAAUAUCAAGUUUACAGAAUACAAAAAAUAUUUAGGAAUAUUUACUGAUAAAAAACUAUAUUUGUUUGAGUGAAUUUUAUCAGAGGUCAUCAUUAUCAGUAAUAAGCUGAUGCGACAUAAUGACAGGAAAAAAUGUUGUUUAUUCUAAGGAAACAGUGGCGGGUCACUGUUAUGAAAUAAAAAUGAGUCAGUCAUAAUAACCUCCAGCUUAUAUUAUUUACGCUCAGAUUUUCAAGGCGUUUAUUUUUAUUUCUCGUUAGUCCACUCUACCAUAACGAACUUCAAUAAACCAAUUCAGCUUUGAAACAUUUAGGUUCAUUAUCACAAUAACUGUAAAAAUCAAAACAAUGAGUUAUAAAAAUGACGCCUACACACCAUUUACGACAGAGGCAAACCAGAGGAACUUGCGUGUUGAAGAACAAUUAGAAUG